CGGGGGCCCGCACAAGCGGUGGAGCAUGUGGUUUAAUUCGACGCAACGCGCAGAACCUUACCAGCCCUUGACAUGUCCAGGACCGGUCGCAGAGAUGUGACCCUCUCUUCGGAGCCUGGAGCACAGGUGCUGCAUGGCUGUCGUCAGCUCGUGUCGUGAGAUGUUGGGUUAAGUCCCGCAACGAGCGCAACCCCCGUCCUUAGUUGCUACCAUUUAGUUGAGCACUCUAAGGAGACUGCCGGUGAUAAGCCGCGAGGAAGGUGGGGAUGACGUCAAGUCCUCAUGGCCCUUACGGGCUGGGCUACACACGUGCUACAAUGGCGGUGACAAUGGGAUGCAAAAGGGCAACC
rnacentral:rRNA from 1 species